UAUUCUCUUCGGGCUAGGGGAUCAUAUCUUCCAGACAGCCAUUACAUGAGCCGCUGUCUUUCUCUCUAGUACUCUCUAUAAUACUACGUAGGGACCUUACCACUAGUGGAAUUAGACAGGGCAGGAGGAGGCACAAAAAAAAAUAAUAAAUUCUACUCCUCCUACUAAUGUCUUAAUUCCUCCAAGCUGCUCAUACCAACUUCCAAACCAACUACUUAGGUUAUACCCAUUCCAGACCUGAGUAGGUACAUGCUCAAAUUUAACCAUGUGGCUUGUAAAUUCAGCCACUGCCUGCCCUUCAUCAUCUAUGUGCAGACAACAGUUACUUAGAUUAAACUUUCCGCAUACACCUCCUUCUACUGCUAGUAAGUAAUCAAGGGCUAGCCUAUUCUGGUAUAUGGCUGAUCACAUCUUGGUAUUUUGCUUAGCUAGAAGAUUAAGCACUUGAGCUGUGUCAUUAGUAAUAAUCUCAACUACCGCCUGUAGUCUAAUAAUGCGGUUGAGCAUAGAUAAUCGGAGUUCUAUAUCCAUAAGUGCCAUCUUCUGCCCAAGUAGCAGGUCCAUAAUAAUUAAUAAUACGUUGAGG